rnacentral:rRNA from 1 species
UACGGAGGGUGCAAGCGUUAAUCGGAAUUACUGGGCGUAAAGCGCACGCAGGUGGCUGAGUCAGUCGAUUGUGAAAGCCCUGGGCUUAACCUGGGAAUUGCAGUCGAUACUACUCAGCUAGAGUAUGGGAGAGGGUAGUGGAAUUCCCGGUGUAGCGGUGAAAUGCGUAGAUAUCAAGAGGAACACCUGCGGCGAAGGCGGGUUGCUGGGCCGACACUGACGCUGAGGCGCGAAAGCUAGGGGAGCGAACGGG